ensembl:lncRNA
CGUAGUUGACUUUCCUUAGAACUAUGCAGUUAAUUGGUGUAAUUCGCUGGGGGGAAGGGGAGUUACUAACUGCAUGCUUAAGCAACUCAAAAUGUUGGCGCAUUUUUUGGGAUAUAUUCACUAUACCACGGUGGGGAAAGUCGUUGUUUUUUCUGUAGGUAUAGGUAAUUGGUGUUGAGACAGUUGGGUUGAGACGGGCUUCUGCUUCAAGCAUUGUUCCUAAGGCUCUGUAGAAAUUGUGAGUAUUUAAAUGCUUUAUUUGAUUCACUUGACUUAUUUAAACUUAAUAGUAUUAAAAUGUUGCUGUC